UUAGCUAGUAGGUGGGGUAACGGCUCACCUAGGCGACGAUCCCUAGCUGGUCUGAGAGGAUGACCAGCCACACUGGAACUGAGACACGGUCCAGACUCCUACGGGAGGCAGCAGUGGGGAAUAUUGCACAAUGGGCGCAAGCCUGAUGCAGCCAUGCCGCGUGUGUGAAGAAGGCCUUCGGGUUGUAAAGCACUUUCAGCGGGGAGGAAGGCGUUAAGGUUAAUAACCUUGGCGAUUGACGUUACCCGCAGAAGAAGCACCGGCUAACUCCGUGCCAGCAGCCGCGGUAAUACGGAGGGUGCAAGCGUUAAUCGGAAUUACUGGGCGUAAAGCGCACGCAGGCGGUCUGUCAAGUCGGAUGUGAAAUCCCCGGGCUCAACCUGGGAACUGCAUUCGAAACUGGCAGGCUAGAGUCUUGUAGAGGGGGGUAGAAUUCCAGGUGUAGCGGUGAAAUGCGUAGAGAUCUGGA
rnacentral:rRNA from 1 species